AUGGGAGCCCAGCUGCAGGACAGCGAUCGGGAGGCUGGCUCGCAGACAGCGGGUGAGACUGCCGGCCGGCAGGGUGCCCAGGAAGCCACCAGAGGACUAGCACCUGCCUACACCCAGCUGGACCCACAGCCUCUCACACUCGUACCCAGGGCCGCCCCACCGGGCCGGCCCCCGGACUGCUGCUCAGAAAGCCCCGCGCUCCGCUGCAGGCACCUAGGCCACGUGGGCCUCAACUUCUCAAGCACAAAACGGCCAGGACCAUCCCUCAUGGGCUGCCUUGGGGGCAGUGGUGGCAGUGCCUGGUGCCCUCUCCCUUCCCGGGCCAUCGUGGUGACCACAGUGUGUGCCGGCUGCUCACCAACCUCCAUCCACGGCCCGUCCGUCUACCCCUUGCGCUCCUGCUGCACAAGGGCCACCAACGCCACCUCUGUGGCGCUGGGCUGCCUGGCCACAGGCUACUUUCCGGGCCCAGUGGCCAUGACCUGGGACACAGCACCCCUGAACAGGAGCACGCUGACCUUCCCUGCCAUCCAAAACUUGAACUCCAGCCUCUACACCACCAGCAGCCAGGUGACAGUCUCGGGCGAGUGGUCCAAGCAGAAAUUCACCUGCAGUGUGGCCCAUGCUGCGUCCAACACCACCACCACCAAGGCCGUCACUGGGUGCACCAAGAACUUCACCGACCCCACUGUGAAGCUCUUUUACUCCUCCUGCGACCCCCGUGGCGACACCCACACCACCAUCCAGCUCCUGUGCUUAAUUUCCGGCUACGCCCCAGGGAAAAUCAAGGUCACCUGGUUGGUGGACGGGCGUGAGGCCACAGACGUGUUCCCACACACUGGCCCCGAAAGGGUGGAGGGCAAACUGGCCUCCACCUCUAGCGAGCUCAACAUCACGCAGGGCCAGUGGGUGUCCCAACUCACCUACACCUGCCGGGUCACCUAUUAUGGCUUCACCUACGACAACCACGCCCGCAGGUGCACAGCUGAGUCCGAGCCCCGUGGCGUGAGCGCCUACCUGAGCCCACCCACGCCUCUCGACCUGUACGUCAACAAGUCACCCAAGAUCACCUGCCUGGUGGUGGACCUGGCCAGCACAAAGGACAUUAAACUGACCUGGUCCAGGGAGAACAAGGAUCUAGUGUAUCCAGACACGCUUGUCUCCAAGCCUGAGUUCAACGGGACGGUCACCGUCACGUCCACCCUGCCGGUGGAUGUCAGCGACUGGCUUAAGGGCGAGACCUACUACUGCAAAGUGACCCACCCACACCUACCCAAGGAGAUCCUGCGCUCCAUCUCGAAGGGCGUUGGCGAGCGCAUGGUUCCCGAGGUCUACGUGUUCCCGCCACCCAAGGAGGAGCUCAAGACCAAGGGCGAGGCCACCCUCACCUGCCUGAUCCAGAACUUCUUUCCCGUGGACAUCUCCGUGCGGUGGCUGCGGAAUGGCGCCCUGAUGCAGGCGGACCAGCACACCAGCACGAGGCCCCGCAAGGUCCGCAGCCCCACCCCCGGCUCCCCCGCCUAUUUCGUCUACAGCCACCUGGUGGUCAGGCGGGCCGACUGGGAGCAGAAGAGUGAAUUCACCUGCCAGGUGGCGCACGAGGCGCUGCCCGGCUCGAGGACGCUCAAGAGAUCCAUGUCCAUCGAGCUCGAGCUGGCCCUGGAGGACCUGUACACAGAGGAGGCCGAGAGCGACGAGCUGGAGGGGAUGCAGACCGGCCUCCUAACCUUCGUGGCGCUCUUCCUGCUUAGCGUGAGCUACGGCGCUGCCGUCACUCUCUGCAAGGUGAAGUGGGUCCUGGCUGCCGUCCCGCAGAAGCAGCCGCAGGCUUCCCAUGACUACAGGAGCACCGCACAGCCCUGCCUCUUCCCUCCCCACAUGAGCGUCCCCGAGGCUGCCAGCUCGACCCUGGGCCGGAGGAAGGAGCAGACCAGCCCCCAAGGGGCCAGAGCCAGGGGCCCAGCGACCAGCACACAGGCGCCAAGAGGCCCCAGCUCAGCCCCAAGGUCGAAGGCACUGCCCCAGCACUCACCCCGAGUCCCACGCCUCCAGCUCCCUCAGGGCGGCUCCAGGGGACACCGGGGCUUCAGACCCCCGGAAGUUGCAGGGCCCCAGGACCUCACGGGCCGGCAAGAGGAAGGAUCCUCAGGGCCAAUCAACAACGAUGCAGGCGCCGCUGGUGCUUGUGAGAGCGACGGGUGUGGGGUGGACCGGAGUCCAGCAGCCCGGGAGGAGGUGCCCCUCGUGGGCGAUGCUAUUCAGUCGAGGGCCCCGCGGCUGCUGAGGCUGGCGGAGGAGGGGCAGUCCCUGGCCGUGGCCAGGAGGGAGCAGCUCCCCCCACCCUCACAGCCGCCCUGUGGCCUGAAGGGACCCUAA